GUCUACGGCCGCGCCACCUUAAACGCGCCUGAUCCCGUCUGAUCUCGGAAGCUCAGCAGGGUCGCGCCUGGUCAGUACUUGGAUGGGAGACCCCCUCGGAAGACCAGGCGCUGUAGGCG
rnacentral:rRNA from 1 species